AUUGAACGCUGGCGGCAGGCCUAACACAUGCAAGUCGAGCGGAGCGGCGGACGGGUGAGUAAUGCCUAGGAAUGUGCCUGGUAGCGGGGGAUAACGUCCGGAAAUGGGCGCUAAUACUGAAUCCUAUCAGUUGAGCCUAAGUCGGUUUAGCUAGUUGGUGGGGUAAAGGCCAACCAAGGCGACGAUCCGUAGCUGGUCUGAGAGGAUGAUCAGUCACACUGGGACUGAGACACGGUCCAGACUCCUACGGGAGGCAGCAGUGGGGAAUAUUGGACAAUGGGCGAAAGCCUGAUGCAGCCAUGUCGCGUGUAUGAAGAAGGCCUUAGGGUUGUAAAGCACUUUAAGUUGGGAGGCGUUACCAGCAGAAUAAGCACCGGCUAACUUCGUGCCAGCAGCCGCGGUAAUUC
rnacentral:rRNA from 1 species